GGUGAACGCUGGCGGCGUGCCUAAUACAUGCAAGUCGAGCGAACAGACGAGGAGCUUGCUCCUCUGACGUUAGCGGCGGACGGGUGAGUAACACGUGGAUAACCUACCUAUAAGACUGGGAUAACUUCGGGAAACCGGAGCUAAUACCGUAUAACAUGUUGAACCGCAUGGUUCAACAGUGAAAGACGGUCUUGCUGUCACUUAUAGAUGGAUCCGCGCCGCAUUAGCUAGUUGGUAAGGUAACGGCUUACCAAGGCAACGAUGCGUAGCCGACCUGAGAGGGUGAUCGGCCACACUGGAACUGAGACACGGUCCAGACUCCUACGGGAGGCAGCAGUAGGGAAUCUUCCGCAAUGGGCGAAAGCCUGACGGAGCAACGCCGCGUGAGUGAAGAAGGUCUUCGGAUCGUAAAACUCUGUUAUUAGGGAAGAACAAAUGUGUAAGUAACUAUGCACGUCUUGACGGUACCUAAUCAGAAAGCCACGGCUAACUACGUG
rnacentral:rRNA from 1 species